rnacentral:rRNA from 1 species
AUGAAACACUCCUACGGGAGGCAGCAGUGGGGAAUAUUGGACAAUGGACCGAGAGUUUGAUCCAGCAAUUCUGUGUGCACGAUGAAGUUUUUCGGAAUGUAAAGUGCUUUCAGUUGGGAAGAAAGAAAUGACGGUACCAACAGAAGAAGUGACGGCUAAAUACGUGCCAGCAGCCGCGGUAAUACGUAUGUCACGAGCGUUAUCCGGAUUUAUUGGGCGUAAAGCGCGUCUAGGUGGUUAUAUAAGUCUGAUGUGAAAAUGCAGGGCUCAACUCUGUAUUGCGUUGGAAACUGUAUAACUAGAGUACCGGAGAGGUAAGCGGAACUACAAGUGUAGAGUUGAAAUUCGUAGAUAUUUGUAGGAAUGCCGAUGGGGAAGCCAGCUUACUGGACAGAUACUGACGCUGAAGCGCGAAAGCGUGGGUAGCCACCCGGAUUAGAAACCCUUGUAGCCCGAAGUUC